AGAACGAACGCUGGCGGCAUGCCUAAUACAUGCAAGUCGAACGAAUGCCCUUCGGGGUGUUAGUGGCGCACGGGUGCGUAACGCGUGGGAAUCUGCCCUUGGGUUCGGAAUAACAGUUAGAAAUGACUGCUAAUACCGGAUGAUGACGUAAGUCCAAAGAUUUAUCGCCCAGGGAUGAGCCCGCGUAGGAUUAGCUAGUUGGUGGGGUAAAGCCUACCAAGGCGACGAUCCUUAGCUGGUCUGAGAGGAUGAUCAGCCACACUGGGACUGAGACACGGCCCAGACUCCUACGGGAGGCAGCAGUAGGGAAUAUUGGACAAUGGGCGAAAGACCUGAUCCAG
rnacentral:rRNA from 1 species